rnacentral:rRNA from 1 species
GAGUUUGAUCGUGGCUCAGAGUGAACGCUGGCGGCAGGCCUAACACAUGCAAGUCGAACGGCAGCACAGUCCCGCAAGGGAUGGGUGGCGAGUGGCGGACGGGUGAGGAAUACAUCGGAAUCUACCUUGUCGUGGGGGAUAACGUAGGGAAACUUACGCUAAUACCGCAUACGACCUACGGGUGAAAGCGGCGGACCGCAAGGCGUCGCGCGAUUGGAUGAGCCGAUGUCCGAUUAGCUAGUUGGCGGGGUAAAGGCCCACCAAGGCGACGAUCGGUAGCUGGUCUGAGAGGAUGAUCAACCACACUGGAACUGAGACACGGUCCAGACUCCUACGGGAGGCAGCAGUGGGGAAUAUUGGACAAUGGGCGCAAGCCUGAUCCAGCCAUGCCGCGUGUGUGAAGAAGGCCUCGG